rnacentral:rRNA from 1 species
AGCGAACGCUGGCGGCAGGCCUAACACAUGCAAGUCGAACGAACUCUUCGGAGUUAGUGGCGGACGGGUGAGUAACACGUGGGAACGUGCCCUUUGGUACGGAAUAACUCAGGGAAACUUGAGCUAAUACCGUAUGUGCCCUUCGGGGGAAAGAUUUAUCGCCAUUGGAGCGGCCCGCGUCUGAUUAGCUAGUUGGUGAGGUAACGGCUCACCAAGGCGACGAUCAGUAGCUGGUCUGAGAGGAUGACCAGCCACAUUGGGACUGAGAUACGGCCCAAACUCCUACGGGAGGCAGCAGUGGGGAAUCUUGCGCAAUGGGCGAAAGCCUGACGCAGCCAUGCCGCGUGGAUGAUGAAGGUCUUAGGAUUGUAAAAUCCUUUCACCGGUGAAGAUAAUGACUGUAGCCGGAGAAGAAGCUCCGGCUAACUUCGUGCCAGCAGCCGCCGUAACAC